AAUAGAUACCCAGGUAGUCCACGCCGUAAACGAUGAGUGCUAAGUGUUAGAGGGUUUCCGCCCUUUAGUGCUGCAGCAAACGCAUUAAGCACUCCGCCUGGGGAGUACGGUCGCAAGACUGAAACUCAAAGGAAUUGACGGGGGCCCGCACAAGCGGUGGAGCAUGUGGUUUAAUUCGAAGCAACGCGAAGAACCUUACCAGGUCUUGACAUCCUUAUGCCAUCUCUAGAGAUAGAGCUUUCCCUUCGGGGACAUAAGUGACAGGUGGUGCAUGGUUGUCGUCAGCUCGUGUCGUGAGAUGUUGGGUUAAGUCCCGCAACGAGCGCAACCCUUGAUCUUAGUUGCCAGCAUUCAGUUGGGCACUCUAAGGUGACUGCCGGUGACAAACCGGAGGAAGGUGGGGAUGACGUCAAAUCAUCAUGCCCCUUAUGACCUGGGCUACACACGUGCUACAAUGGAUGGUACAAAGGGCAGCGAAACCGCGAGGUUAAGCCAAUCCCAUAAAACCCAUUCUCAGUUCGGAUUGCA
rnacentral:rRNA from 1 species